CUAACCUCAUUUAAGGGCUAGCAGCUGGGAGGGAAACAUCUCUGUUUGGAGAUUGCUCCAUUCUGGAAGGUUCCAGUGAGCCCUUGCGUUUGAGUUUAACCCCCCAUGUAUUUUGGUUGGCCCUUCACAUAAAAGAGGGGAAAACACAUCAGCAGGAGCAGCAGUGGCCACAGCCACCACCUCACCCCAGGACUGCUGUUUGUCCCAGCCCCCCCAGUGACAACUGCUGGCUAUAAAGAUUUGAAGAAGGGGAUACGUUGCCUACAGGCUUCCCCAGGGCAACCAGAAAAUAUUUUGUUUUGAGGACAAAGGAUGUCCCUGAUAUUUCCUAAAAUACCAGAGCAGUUGACUUACCUCCUGCUGACUGUCAUCAGAGUCAUGGCAAAACAUCUCCUUUCUUCUACAGAGGACCAAGUUUAUGUUAACUCACUUGCCAGCUGGCCUUAGCAUGUGGAAGCAGCAUUGCAACAUCCAUCUUUGCUGACCCAGCAGGUGAAGCCCUCUGUGGUGAGAAGGGAGGUGAAAGCACAGGAGCACAGCAGGCUCGUGGUGCAAGCAGCCUCUCCCCACAUUUAGAUUAGGGCAGUACCUACUGCUGUUCUUGCAGUCCAGCCCUGAAAGAGGGUUCCAUUAAAAGCUCCCCUCUCCCAGCCAGCAAUAAGCACCCCUGGAUGCCACUGCCAUCUAUAAGCAGGCUGAAGCUGUCAUUGGCUGCUGUUGCACACCUACAGAGCAUGCUGCCAUCAUUUGUACUGCCCGGAGCUCUGUGGACACCCACCUCCAUCCCUUUCUCAGGCCACAUUUGAUCUUAUGGUUAGAUUCAACCCUGCAAGGACUGUUGAGGAGGGAACAGGCAGAAUUUUACUAAAGCACACCUGCUUUGGUGUGAUUCACCUGGCUCCUUAUCACAAAUGGGCUAUUCUCAGGAACAAUCGGACCCUGCUUCUCAGGAGUAGAGCCCCGGGGAAACCCAGAGGUAUCCAGUGCCUGCCUGCAGCCUUCCUGCUGUAAGUGGAGCUUACUCCCAGCCCAGGUCUUCCUUCCCUUGGUUUCUUUCAGUGCUCAUAGAAUGCAGCCAGGUGGUGCUGCUGCUGCAUGGUAUCUGGGCUGGCAUGUAUUCAUUUCUCCAGAGAGAUCUGACGCUCACCAGCUAAGUUUUCUGCAAUGCUUGCACAAGGCAGUAUCUCCCCAGAGAAUCCUAUGCAAGGUAGGAAGAAUCUCCCCCACACUGUGAAAGGUAUAAAUUCCACCUCCAUCCUUUUUUGCUGCAGCCUGGCACGUGCUGUUGGACAUUUGACCUUUUGUCCUUGACCCUCUGACAUUUAGACCUCUGACCUUGAUCCUCCAUCUUUCGAUCUUAGUCACUCAAAAGGUCAUUUUUGAGCCAGUGACCUUUGACCUUUCAUCCGUUGACUGUGAUCCUGGGAUCUUUUGGCCUUUAGCCUUGACCCCCAUGAGCUUUCUUCCCUGCUGUGGAAGCAGUGCAAGCCAAUACAAAUGGAAGAUCACUGGAGAGUGUGCAGACGAAAGGAAAAGUAAUGCAAUGGGCUGCUUUCCUCUCAGCAUAGAAUCACAGAACGGUUUGUGUUGGAAGGGACCUUUAAGGCCACCUCAUUCCAACGCCUGCUACAGACAGGGACACCUCCCUGCCUAGAUUAGACCAGAUUGCAUGCCUGUGCACGUGGGGGUCAGCGUGUGGAGGGGCUAAUGGGGAGACUCGUGCAACGCAGGCUGUAGGGCAGCAGAUGGGAUCACCCAGGCUUCGCAUCCUGCGGCUUUGCAUGCUCGCAAGGCUACUCUACCUCCGGAACGCAUA
ensembl:lncRNA